GUGACUUUUCUGGAAUAAGAUAAGAAAAGCGAUACAAAUGGAAUGUUGAUCAAUUAAAAGAAAUGUGCCAGGACUGGGAGAGCACAUACAGGAGUGCAUGUGAGGUGUUCCAGCAGCAGGAGUCUGAGCGCAUUAAUAUCUUGCGCUGUGUGUUAUGGGAUCAUUGCAAUCUGCUGUCCAUGCAGUGUGU